rnacentral:rRNA from 1 species
CCCGGGCCUUGUACACACCGCCCGUCACACCAUGGGAGUGGGUUGCAAAAGAAGUAGCUAGUCUAACCGCAAGGGGGACGGUUACCACUUUGUGAUUCACGACUGGGGUG